UACGAAGGGUGCAAACGUUAUUCGGAAUCACUGGGCGUAAAGGGUGCGUAGACGGCAUGUUAAGUUCGUUGUUAAAGGCUCCGGCCUAACCGGAGUACCGCGAUGAAAACUGGCGUACCAGAGGGUGAGAGAGAGAAGUGGAAUUCCUGGAGUAGCGGUAAAAUGCGUGGAUCUCAGGAGGAACACCAAUGGCGAAGGCAGCUUCUUGGCUCAUUCCUGACGUUGAGGCACGAAAGCGUGGGGAGCAAACAGG
rnacentral:rRNA from 1 species